UAUAAGCACUAUAGCAUGGCCAAAGUCCGUCUACGAGAGUCUAACACAUUGUGGACACCCCCGGGGAGUCAGUCGUAAUCAUCUCCUGUCGGAUUGUAUGUCAAGACACCAAAGGGAAAAAACACCGACGAACAUCAGACUGGCCCUAAGAGCUUUAAACGAAAAUCUGUUUUCUUUCGAGCAUUUGUCACUUUCUCAUAUUUUGACUCCUGUUUUCUUAACUUGCUAACGUCCCGAAAGUUUCUCUGGUUGUCAAAUUAAUGAUUAAGAAAACAAGAAAAUACAAACGUAUAAUACCAAGUUUUUCACGCUUCCUACCUCCCCCUGAAAAACCUCGAGCCCCGCACCCCGGCUGAAAUACCCGGACAGCGCCUAGAAGAAACCCAGGCAAUGCCACGGUGAAGAGCAGGCAGAAAACGCCCAGGCAGCCGCAAGCCCACGUCUAGGUGAUGGACAUUCCCAUGAUGCCCAUAUCAGUCAUCUCCCAAAACAAGACAAGUAGGUCACAGUAACUUCAUAUUCUUCGGAGCCGGAUUAAACUUUCCAUUCACGCUAAUAAAUUACUUUCACUCUCCAGACAAUCUUUUCGCCUUCUUUUGUGAUACAUAUAAAAAAAAUGUGAUAUGUAAUUUUGAAACAACUCUA